GUCUGGCGCUCCGGUGGCGACACCGGGUCCACAGCAGGGAGGACGAAUAGGACAGGUCAUAGGGUACCUCCUGAAGAACUACCAUGUCUGGCAAUAAUGAAUCUUCCACAGAGCCCAGAAGCAGCAGCGGUGGCAGCAGCUCUAAACCCCACACAUCAAACCCUCGCAAGGCAGGAAAGAACUGCUCAUGGGCUUCCUACAUGACCAACUCUCCAACUCUCAUUGUAAUGAUUGGUUUGCCAGCCCGGGGUAAAACUUAUGUGUCCAAGAAACUAACUCGUUACCUCAACUGGAUUGGAGUACCCACCAAAGUGUUUAAUCUUGGGGUAUAUCGGCGUGAAGCAGUCAAGUCCUACAUGUCUUAUGACUUCUUCCGACAUGACAAUGAAGAGGCUAUGAAGAUCCGCAAACAGUGUGCUCUGGUGGCCCUGGAAGAUGUCAAGUCCUAUUUGACUGAAGAGAGUGGGCAGAUUGCGGUGUUUGACGCCACCAACACUACUCGGGAGAGGAGGGACAUGAUUUUGAACUUUGCCCAGCAGAAUGCCUUCAAGGUAUUCUUUGUGGAGUCUGUCUGUGAUGAUCCUGAUGUCAUUGCUGCCAAUAUUCUGGAGGUAAAAGUGUCAAGCCCUGACUACCCCGAAAGGAAUAGGGAGAAUGUGAUGGAGGACUUCCUGAAGAGAAUUGAGUGCUACAAAGUCACUUACCAGCCCCUUGACCCAGACAGCUAUGAUAAGGAUCUUUCUUUCAUCAAGGUGAUAAAUGUAGGCCAGAGAUUUCUGGUCAACAAAGUUCAGGACUAUAUCCAGAGUAAGAUCGUCUACUACCUUAUGAAUAUCCACGUCCAGCCUCGCACCAUCUACCUUUGCCGGCAUGGAGAGAGCGACUUCAAUCUUUUGGGGAAGAUUGGUGGUGACUCUGGCCUUUCAGUUCGAGGGAAGGAGUUUGCUCAGCAUCUGAAGAAGUUUCUGGAGGAACAGGAGAUCCAAGACCUCAAAGUGUGGACGAGCCAGUUGAAGAGAACAAUUCAGACCGCCGAGUCCCUCGGGGUGACCUAUGAGCAGUGGAAGAUCCUAAAUGAGAUCGAUGCUGGCGUGUGCGAGGAGAUGACAUAUUCGGAGAUUGAGAAGCGGUACCCAGAGGAAUUUGCUCUUCGAGAUCAAGAGAAGUAUCUGUACCGAUAUCCUGGUGGGGAGUCAUACCAGGACCUGGUGCAGCGACUGGAGCCUGUCAUCAUGGAGCUGGAGCGCCAGGGCAACAUCCUCGUCAUCUCCCACCAGGCUGUCAUGCGCUGCCUCCUGGCCUACUUCUUGGAUAAAGGCGCAGAUGAGUUGCCAUACUUGAGGUGUCCCCUGCACACCAUCUUCAAACUUACCCCUGUGGCCUACGGUUGCAAAGUGGAAACAAUUAAACUGAAUGUGGAGGCUGUGGACACUCAUCGUGACAAGCCAACUCACAACUUCCCCAAGAGCCAAACCCCUGUAAGGAUGAGAAGGAACAGCUUUACGCCUCUGUCCAGUUCGAACACAAUAAGGCGUCCAAGAAAUUACAGUGUUGGGAGCCGGCCCCUCAAGCCCCUCAGCCCUCUCCGCGCCCUGGACAUGCAAGAAGGGGCGGACCAGCCGAAGACCCAAGUCAGCAUUCCGCCAGGUCCUUCAAGGGUCAGCCCAGGCCACAGAACCUCCACAGAAAGCCCUGGAGUUUGCAAACGGACAUAGGGUGAGAGCUCUUGCCUGUUUUUAUGAGAAACAACCCUAAGUUUUUGUUGUGCUGGCUCUGAGAAUGUGGCACGUUUUGGUUUGUGUUCCUAACCUGAGGAGCCAGACAGUCCUAUGCUGGCCACAGAGUGGGGCUGGGGGUGGGUGAAGUCUAGUUCUUAAAAACCCACAGUUCAGACGCUUUGUUCUGUGGCUCUCAGUGUCUCUGCCAUUCCAGGAACUUUCCUGAAGCCCAUGACCUUUGGGCUGUUUAAACACACCAGGAUCCUCCAUUGAGCCCUGAAUUUCUGCAGGCAUGGCUUACUUCUAUAAGCUGUUAGAGCCUGUAACGCCAACUCCAGGAGAUCUGAUGCCCUCUUCUGGACUCCCCAGGAAGUGGAGAAGGUACUGACUGAGCACAGACACCCCUCAAUGGCAUCUCUCACAUUGCUCUCCUGAUGUGAGACUGAGGCCAGACCUCUCCGAGGAACUGGAUCUACUAAAAAUCUUGGGAUGUCAGCAUCAUUGAGGCUAGAACAGGAAGUUAAAUGGGAACUUCUCAUUUGAGGCUACCAAAAGCGAGGCCUGGAAAAACCUUCACUGCACUUCUUCCCCUCAUGCCUAACAGGAACAUCACUAUACUGUGCCUCAAAAAGUCUUUAACAGCCUGAACAAGUCAGGUCUUAUCUCUUUUGCCUCAAGUUUGCAAAUACCAUUCUACUUAGACAUUUGGUAUUCUGCUGUGGCCGAGUAACCGCAUCCUUAGCUGGACCCUUGCCUAGCAUGCGAAUGUACUUACUGCUUUGGACUCAGUCUCUGGGUGAGGAUGAACCUCAGCAAGCCCUUUCUGCUCAGUGAGAGCCACUCUUUGCAUCUCUUGGAGGUGAGCAGGCUGAAGUGCAACAUGAGUGCCCACGGUUACCUCUUGCAAUGCGGGAACUGAGCCAGCUCGCCAGGUAAAUGGAGGGUGUCAGGAUCUCGGCUCUGACAGUCCUCUUCUCCGGUGACAGAAGAGUAGUAUCCAUGGCUCCUUUUCAUUUUGAGAAGUUUUUCUUGUUCCUUGCCCUUUGGUGCAGGGUCUGGCUGUCAGACUUCCCCAAAGGAGACCGGUCUUUACAUUCUCUCAUAGCUACUAUGAUUUCUCUCUCUGAGACAUGUACCUCACAUAGCUGGAGAGGACUGAUUGAGUGCCUCCAGAGGGGUUGAGAUGAAGGCUAGGCGGCACAUCUCUAUCCCAUUUCGAAAUAACGAUGGCUUCUGGAGAAUAAAUUACACAGGAAU